UACGAAGGGGGCUAGCGUUGUUCGGAAUUACUGGGCGUAAAGCGCACGUAGGCGGACUAUUAAGUCAGGGGGUGAAAUCCCGGGGCUCAACCCCGGAACUGCCUUUGAUACUGGUAGUCUCGAGUCCGGAAGAGGUGAGUGGAACUGCGAGUGUAGAGGUGAAAUUCGUAGAUAUUCGCAAGAACACCAGUGGCGAAGGCGGCUCACUGGCCCGGUACUGACGCUGAGGUGCGAAAGCGUGGGGAGCAAACAGGG
rnacentral:rRNA from 1 species